AACCGUCGGGGCUCAUCGUUAGGUGACGCGACGCCCGUAUGCUCGUGUGCGAUAAAAAUUGUCCAACGAAUCAAGCAAGGCGAACGAAGUUGCGAAACCUAUAGAUCACGAAUCGUACUACUUUUUAUGUAUUACACACUUUUCAUGGAUGAAGAAUACCAAAUUUUGGGUAGAAAAUAUCUGAAGAGAAACGAGUUCGAGCUCGAAAAAAACAAAAAAAAAAAAAUAAAAAGGACAGCAAGAUUAAUAAAAUAAGUCAAAUGUAGAUGAUGAAAAUUAUAGCACUCGCUAUCCUUAUUGAUUCCUAUUACGAUUUACUGAUAUACGCCAUCGUAUCCAUCGGUCCACAAAAAAUAGGUGAUAUUUUCAUGAAUAUAGCGCGCAUGCGUAGAAUGCACGCGUAUGUUAAACACAAUGCGUAUUCGUCUAUGUCCGCACGCGCGCGGAUACAGUCGUAUUUAUGAAGCACACACAGAAAUCACAUGUGUGUAAAUAUUUUUCGAACUUUGUGAAUCCUUAAACGAAAAACUCUAUCAUUGAGAGAAAAUCAAUAAAACACAAUCUCUGAAACAUAAACGUCAACAACAUCGCGAAGUGCACGUAACGUUACAUUUCCAAAUGUAAUCAUACGGUCAAAGUACAUUUAACCAUCACUCACCAUAGAAAUGUAGAAAACGAUAUUAUGAGUAUAAAACUAUCUUUUGUAUGCAUAAAAUUUUAACUUAUAUUAACAUCUUUUGUAGAUCUAUGUAUUUUACACAAUAAUAACACGGUACAUAUUCAAAUCAUGACAGGUUAAGUGCCAUGCUUACAAGUGACCGCCAUUGCCAAAAUGAAUUGAAGUAUUCGAGUGAAAGAAACAGUCAUAUUCGUAACAUUUGUAAUACUUUUAAUGUUAUAAUACCAAUAUAAAGUAUUAAAUGCAUCAUAAAACAUUUAAACAAUCUUAUUCUUUUAUACAAUUACAUCCAAUGCUAUGUACAGUAACAAUAUACACAAAACGUAACAAAGUGUAAUAUAACAAUGUAAUAUAAAAUUUUAGUCAACAUGUUAGUAACUAACAAUGUUCAGAAUUUAUUUAAAUAUUAAUGAUACAGUAAUGACAUAUACGCAAUUGUUAUGAAUACGAGCCGCGAAGAACGACAGGCGUUCGAACGACACGCACACGUAUGUAGAUUAUAAAAAAAUAUGUGCUUACCUUUGAACGUAUUGCGGACGAGAGUCAUGCUCAUAUUCGCGUGAGCGCGAGCCAGUGCUCCCCGAGGUACGUCUUGCGUUUCUUCGACAAUUCCGCCAGGUU
rnacentral:misc_RNA from 1 species